UGCAAGUCGAGCGGACAGAAGGGAGCUUGCUCCCGGAUGUUAGCGGCGGACGGGUGAGUAACACGUGGGUAACCUGCCUGUAAGACUGGGAUAACUCCGGGAAACCGGAGCUAAUACCGGAUAGUUCCUUGAACCGCAUGGUUCAAGGAUGAAAGACGGUUUCGGCUGUCACUUACAGAUGGACCCGCGGCGCAUUAGCUAGUUGGUGGGGUAAUGGCUCACCAAGGCGACGAUGCGUAGCCGACCUGAGAGGGUGAUCGGCCACACUGGGACUGAGACACGGCCCAGACUCCUACGGGAGGCAGCAGUAGGGAAUCUUCCGCAAUGGACGAAAGUCUGACGGAGCAACGCCGCGUGAGUGAUGAAGGUUUUCGGAUCGUAAAGCUCUGUUGUUAGGGAAGAACAAGUGCGAGAGUAACUGCUCGCACCUUGACGGUACCUAACCAGAAAGCCACGGCUAACUACGUGCCAGCAGCCGCGGUAAUACGUAGGUGGCAAGCGUUGUCCGGAAUUAUUGGGCGUAAAGGGCUCGCAGGCGGUUUCUUAAGUCUGAUGUGAAAGCCCCCGGCUCAACCGGGGAGGGUCAUUGGAAACUGGGAAACUUGAGUGCAGAAGAGGAGAGUGGAAUUCCACGUGUAGCGGUGAAAUGCGUAGAGAUGUGGAGGAACACCAGUGGCGAAGGCGACUCUCUGGUCUGUAACUGACGCUGAGGAGCGAAAGCGUGGGGAG
rnacentral:rRNA from 1 species